AUUGAACGCUGGCGGCAGGCUUAACACAUGCAAGUCGAGCGGGGUGAUGGUGCUUGCACUAUCACUUAGCGGCGGACGGGUGAGUAAUGCUUAGGAAUCUGCCUAUUAGUGGGGGACAACAUCUCGAAAGGGAUGCUAAUACCGCAUACGUCCUACGGGAGAAAGCAGGGGAUCACUUGUGACCUUGCGCUAAUAGAUGAGCCUAAGUCGGAUUAGCUAGUUGGUGGGGUAAAGGCCUACCAAGGCGACGAUCUGUAGCGGGUCUGAGAGGAUGAUCCCCCACACUGGGACUGAGACACGGCCCGGACUCCUACGGGAGGCAGCAGUGGGGAAUAUUGGACAAUGGGGGGAACCCUGAUCCAGCCAUGCCGCGUGUGUGAAGAAGGCCUUAUGGUUGUAAAGCACUUUAAGCGAGGAGGAGGCUCUUUUGGUUAAUACCCAAGAUGAGUGGACGUUACUCGCAGAAUAAGCACCGGCUAACUCUGUGCCAGCAGCCGCCGUAA
rnacentral:rRNA from 1 species